rnacentral:rRNA from 1 species
UACGAAGGGGGCUAGCGUUGCUCGGAAUUACUGGGCGUAAAGGGCGCGUAGGCGGUUCUUUAAGUCAGGCGUGAAAGCCCUGGGCUCAACCUGGGAGUGGCGCUUGAUACUGGAGGACUAGAGAGUGGGAGAGGUUGGUGGAAUUCCCAGUGUAGAGGUGAAAUUCGUAGAUAUUGGGAAGAACACCGGUGGCGAAGGCGGCCAACUGGACCAUUUCUGACGCUGAGGCGCGAAAGCGUGGGGAGCAAACAGG